rnacentral:rRNA from 1 species
UACGGAGGUGGCUAGCGUUGUUCGGAAUUACUGGGCGUAAAGCGCACGUAGGCGGAUCAGAAAGUCAGAGGUGAAAUCCCAGGGCUCAACCUUGGAACUGCCUUUGAAACUCCUGGUCUUGAGGUCGAGAGAGGUGAGUGGAAUUCCGAGUGUAGAGGUGAAAUUCGUAGAUAUUCGGAGGAACACAAGUGGCGAAGGCGGCUCACUGGCUCGAUACUGACGCUGAGGUGCGAAAGCGUGGGGAGCAAACAGG